UGAGGCAACACAGAAUUGGGCCCUCCGGAUGCCCCGCCAUCUCAGGCCAAGUUGCAGAAAGCAAAGAUGAUCCAUUCCCAUUGAGUCCUGCCCAAAUUGCAGCUUUAUGAGAACAAAUAAAUGAUGGUUUUGUUUUUAA